CAUGCCUAUGUAAUGAAGCCUCCAUGAAAACCCAAAAGGACUGGGUUCAGAGAGCUUCCAGAUUGCUGAACACGUGGGGAUUCCUGGAGGAUGAUGUGCUGGGGUGAGGGCAUUGAAGCCCAGUGCCACUUCCCACAUAUGUUGCCCUAGAUCUGUGAGCCAUCCUAGAAGAUUAAUCAGACCUGAGGAGAGGAUGUGGAAACCCCAAAUUUAUAGCUGGUCAGAAGUACAGGUCACCACCUGGCUCUUGAGAUGGACAUCUGAAGUGGAAGGAUCUUGUGGGACUGGUCCCUUAGCCUGUGGGAUCUGACGCUAUCUCCAGACUGAGCAUCGCCCUGUUACCCAGGCUAAAGUGCAGUGGGAAGAUCUCAGCUCACUGCAACCUCUGCCUCCAAGGUUCAAGAGAUUCUCCUGCCUCAGCCUCCCAAGUAGCUGGGAUAAACUAAACUAAACUACUAAACUAAACUAAACUAAACUAAACUGCUAAACUAAGGGGUUUGGAGGGCUCCUGGAUUAUUGAACACGUAAAGGUUCCUGGAGGGUGGUGCAGCCAGAGACGGCAUGGAAGCUCUGCACCCCUCCCCCAUAUCUUGCCCUAUGCAUCUCUUCCUUCUGGC
rnacentral:lncRNA from 1 species